UGUUCGUUAAAGUGCCGUUUGAUGCCCAU
rnacentral:piRNA from 1 species